UGAACUCUCAGGGCCUGACAGAAGGUUCCUUCAGUCUGUCAGACUUCCUUGGCCUUGCUUACUCCAACACUUCAGGCACCUAAGCGUCCCUCAAGGCUCUCCUCAACAGCAGGUCUCUCUACAUCUCCCUGGCUGUCCUGGAACUCAUUAUGUAGACGACCAGGCUAACCUCAGACUCACAAGAUUCACCUGCAUCUGCUGCACAGGAGCUAGGAUCAAAGGUGUGCACCACCAUGCUUGGCAAAAGUUAAGUGCAUGGGUUUUUUGCCUGCAUGAAUGUCUGGUGUGCCUGGUGCCGAGACCAAAGGAGUGCUUAAGAUGCUCUAGGCCUGGAACAACAGAUGAUCCACAGAUGAAUCUGCUUCUUUACAGAACAACGACAUCCACAUCUAAGACUCCAGAAACAGAGGAGAGCAUGUGAACUAACAAGGUUAUCAAAGAUUUGAAAAAAGAAAAGAAAAAGACCCUCCAACACAGCUCAAAGAGAUAACCAACUCUAGCUACAAAAGAAGUCAGUAUUACCAAUUUGGCAUACAUUCUUCUAGAAAUUGAAGAUAAUUGUGUUUAUAUUGAACUAAUGACAAAAAUACUUUACUACGUAAAACUGCAU